CCCCCAGUCUCUCUCAAAACGUCACUGCCAUUCCUCACUCUUCCUCCGCCUCUCCAUCUCUAUCUCUGUCUCGAUCCCCUUUCACUCUCCCAUGUGGCGGCCACCAGCGUGAUCCGGCGGUGCGGCCUGAGGCGUAGAGGCGAUGCGGCGGCGUCGUUUGCGGUGGAAGGCGGCCGUUGGUGGCGAUUGGAAGCGAGACCAGUGGCGGCGGCGACGGAUCCCGACGGAUCUCUCCGGAUCCGAUUGCGAGUGAUGGAGGCCGUGGUCUCCUGUGCGCGGCGUGCUGAUGCAUAGACGGGUGCGGGGCUGGCGGUAGGCAGCGAUGUGGCGCGGUCUCAUGCGGCGGCAGAGUUGCAGCUGCAGCCGGCACGGCUGCUCGCCGUGCUGUGGACACGGCUUGCCGGGCAGAGGGCGUCCUUCUAAGCGGUGAACCACGGCGUGACCCUUGAGAUGCUACGGCUGGUGCGCUGGUCAUGUCGUGGCUUCUGCAGGCAGCCAGCCGAGGUGAGGAGCGGGACGCCAACUCGCCAGCGACGUACAAGGGGCUACAACAGCUGCCUUGGCACCCGCAAGAGCGGGCUCCUCGACUGGGGCGUCUGCUACUUCCUGAAGCUCCUCCCGUCGUCGAUCAAAAGGCCACGGCAAGUGGUCGUCCCUUCCCGUUCACCAUUCGAUUUCCUUGAAUGAUGCAGACGAGGAGUAUGUGUGAGGGCCUGGCCUGGACAAGCUUGAUUUAAUUAGUAUCUGUUCUGGUACAGGGAUUUUAUGUGAAACAAGUUAGCGAGCAGCUUCCCGAAAGAGAUGGAAACCAAUGGAACCUAUGAUAUGCACAUAAAUCAAUGGAACCUAUCCAAACAUGUUGCCUUCUCAGUUGGCUGGAGCUUCAUGUGGGUUAUUUUAUUUGGACUCCUAUUUGCCGGGGUCAGAUCUUAUGCAGUGUACAAAUACAGUCUACAGGUUAUAAAACGUGCAGAAAACUGAUCACAUGCUCACCAAUACCCCAGCGAGGCAUCACUACCUGGGUUCCUAGUUCAUUGAAGAGACAAACAUCAAAGUCUGGAAGAUAUUUUAGAAACGAUGAAGUCGACGUCCAGCAAGAAGCUCAAGGAGUUUUAAUGGGCCACAUUAAAAUCUGUGAGCUCGCAGGAACAGGGCAGUAACCUUUUCAUCCCCUUGCAUACUGUUUGAGGAAAGAGUUCUUAGUAAACAGUUGAGAACUUCUGUAUAUCUCCAUAUGGCAUUGUAGAACUUAAAAGGUGAUUUACAAAGAAGUGAUUUACACCCUCUCUCUGCUAUCUAUAAAAAUUGUGACAAUGGAAGCUUGCAUUUCUCCAUAUCAAGAACGGGAGUAUAGAUUCUAAUCGCAGAGAUUUCUCUCUUUUACAGCGAGGUCAUGUUCCAUCUGAGCCUUGCUACAUACUGCGAUUCUAAUAGCAUCUUCUUCCUUAAAUCUAACAGCUCGAUUCCUCGCUCGUACAUAAGAAGGCAAUGUGCGCAUCGUUGGAGCUAUAAUGAACAGUUGGGGCUACUAUAUGAGAACAUAUGAGAAAAGUUGCGGCGCUCACCAACAAAGCCGCGGCGGCACCGGUGCCUCCUGCUCCGAUGGCAAACUUUAAAAGAAAUAGGCCUCGCCCACCCGCUCCAAUGGCAAACUGGUAGGAUCCCAAAUCGAGACCUGGAAGCAUGGAGAAACACAGCCUCGCCCGUCCCGCUCAGAAACGUCUUGAAAAUUGGUUUGUUGUUGUAUAUGGAAGGCGUGAGAUGGACAGAGUAUGAUUGGUCGCUUUAUUUUUGGGCAUUGAAGGUGUAAGAUGGAAAGAACGAAAGGAUUGAUUGGCGUUGUAUAUCUGUUUGUGAUGUACGAGCGAUUUGAUUCCUGUUGUGUAUGGAAAGUAUUAUUUGGAAAGGAUAAUAUUGUUUGGAAAGGAUGCCAUCGGUUAAUAUUUUAUUCCUGUUGUGUA